UUCGAUGCAUCGCGAAGAGCCUUACCUACUCUUGACAUCCAGAGAACUUUCCAGAGAUGGAUUGGUGCCUUCGGGAACUCUGAGACAGGUGCUGCAUGGCUGUCGUCAGCUCGUGUUGUGAAAUGUUGGGUUAAGUCCCGCAACGAGCGCAACCCUUAUCCUUGUUUGCCAGCGAGUAAUGUCGGGAACUCCAGGGAGACUGCCGGUGAUAAACCGGAGGAAGGUGGGGACGACGUCAAGUCAUCAUGGCCCUUACGAGUAGGGCUACACACGUGCUACAAUGGCGCAUACAGAGGGCGGCCAACUUGCGAAAGUGAGCGAAUCCCAAAAAGUGCGUCGUAGUCCGGAUUGGAGUCUGCAACUCGACUCCAUGAAGUCGGAAUCGCUAGUAAUC
rnacentral:rRNA from 1 species